rnacentral:rRNA from 1 species
UACGUAGGGUGCGAGCGUUAAUCGGAAUUACUGGGCGUAAAGCGUGCGCAGGCGGCGCGUUAAGACAGGUGUGAAAGCCCCGAGCUUAACUUGGGAAUUGCGCUUGUGACUGGCGUGCUGGAGUGUGGCAGAGGGAGGUGGAAUUCCACGUGUAGCAGUGAAAUGCGUAGAGAUGUGGAGGAACACCGAUGGCGAAGGCAGCCCCCUGGGCUAGCACUGACGCUCAGGCACGAAAGCGUGGGGAGCAAACAGG